UGAAGUCGAUUUUACGCGCCGCCAGCCA
rnacentral:sRNA from 1 species